GGCCCGUUGGCGAACAUCCCCGGGAACUGGGGCCAAUUUUCGAUAGGUGAAGAACCCUGGAAUGGGUCUUCGCCCAAAAGGCGCUUGGAGCAUGCUUCUAGGCGUUGCCCAAGGAUGGGGCCGCGGCCGAUCAGGUUGUUGGUGAGGUAAUGGCUCACCAAGCCUUUAACCGGUACGGGCCGUGGGAGCGGUAGCCCGGAGAUGGGCACUGAGACAAGGGCCCAGGCCCUACGGGGCGCAGCAGUCGCGAAAACUUCGCAAUAGGCGAAAGCUUGACGAGGCCAUCCCGAGUGCCAUCUGCUGAGGAUGGCUUUUACCUAGUGUAGAUAGCUGGGGGAAUAAGGAGAGGGCAAGUCUGGUGUCAGCCGCCGCGGUAAUACCAGCUCUCCGAGUUGUGGGGAUGUUUAUUGGGCCUAAAGCAUCCGUAGCCGGCUGGGCAAGUCCUCUGUUAAACCCAGCGAUCAAUCGUUGGCUUGCGGGGGAUACUGUCCGGCUAGGGGGCGGGAGAGGCCGUCGGUAUUCUCGGGGUAGGGGUGAAAUCCUAUAAUCCCGGGAGGACCACCAGUGGCGAAGGCUGUCGGCUAGAACGCGCCCGACGGUGAGGGAUGAAAGCUGGGGGAGCGAACCGGAUUAGAUACCCGGGUAGUCCCAGCUGUAAACGAUGCAGGCUAGGUGUUAGGGCGGCUACGUGCCGCUCUAGUGCCGCAGGGAAGCUGUUAAGCCUGCCGCCUGGGGAGUACGGCCGCAAGGCUGAAACUUAAAGGAAUUGGCGGGGGAGCAC
rnacentral:rRNA from 1 species